CAAUAGCGUAUAUUUAAGUUGUUGCAGUUAAAAAGCUCGUAGUUGGAUUUCGGAUGGGAUUUGCCGGUCCGUCGUUACGAUGUGCACUGGCCAGUCCUAUCUUGUUGUCGGGGACUAGCUCCUUGGAUUCACUUCCUGCGACUAGGAGCUGACGAGGUUACUUUGAGUAAAUUAGAGUGUUCAAAGCAAGCCUACGCUCUGAAUACAUUAGCAUGGAAUAACACGAUAGGACUCUGGCUUAUCUUGUUGGUCUGUGAGACCAGAGUAAUGAUUAAGAGGGACAGUCGGGGACAUUCGUAUUUCAUUGUCAGAGGUGAAAUUCUUGGAUUUAUGAAAGACGAACUUCUGCGAAAGCAUUUGUCAAGGAUGUUUUCAUUAA
rnacentral:rRNA from 1 species